AUGUACAUUUCUACAACGUUAAUGCACUGGAUCCCAUUAGAACUCUACAGUUAAGCACACUUGGGCUAGAGUAUUACUAGGAUGGGUGACCUCCUAGGAAGUCCUAGUGUUUUACAUG
rfam:Picea glauca, whole genome shotgun sequence.